rnacentral:pre_miRNA from 1 species
UCUGGCGUGGCAUCAUCAAGAUUCACAUGAAGCUAAUUCUGAAGAUGAUCAUGAGAAUCUUGAUGAUGCUGCAUCGGC